rnacentral:rRNA from 1 species
UACGGAGGGUGCAAGCGUUAUCCGGAUUCACUGGGUUUAAAGGGUGCGUAGGCGGGCAUUUAAGUCAGUGGUGAAAUACCUAAGCUUAACUUGGGAACUGCCAUUGAUACUAUUUGUCUUGAAUGUCGUGGAGGUUAGCGGAAUAUGUCAUGUAGCGGUGAAAUGCUUAGAUAUGACAUAGAACACCUAUUGCGAAGGCAGCUAACUACGCGAAUAUUGACGCUGAGGCACGAAAGCGUGGGGAUCAAACAGG